GCGGGAGAUCUCCUGUGGCGGUAGCCAGCCUCUGGUGAUCCUUGGCCCCAGCCAACAUGGCUAUGGUCGCCUAAUCCUGCGAUAGCGUCAGUGACUCAGAAACCAAUGAUACACGUAGCCUAGGUAACUCUGUGCCUGGCACUUACCCUUGGCCUCCCUGUGCUCCCCCCCCCCCCCCACACACACCUCCCGCUGUGGUUUGUGACAUUCCCUUGCUGUAGUUUGGCUUUGUAAAAUUGAACUGGUUUGGACGGGACCGCAUCUUCCUAUCUGUGCAGUACCCAGCACAGCAAGUGUUUCGUUCUGAUUGGGGCCCCUAAGCGCUACUGUACGAAUGCAUAAUCCUGAUGGAUCGUUCCAGGUGGAUUCCAGAAUCCAGCUGUGGAUGUGAUAUAUCUUGACCUCACACCUUCUAUGGGCCAUCUUAAUUAUCACUUCAAAAAGUUUUUUUUCCUCCUGCUGAUGAUAGCUCAUCUCAAUUGAUUAGACUCUUCCUGUUGGUGACAAAUGUAUGUGGUUUACCAUAAAAAUAAGAGAUGUGUACUUGGUGAAGACUACAUCAAGUGACUGGCCAUUUUGGUGCACGGGAAAAUUAAUCCCAGACUGCAGGUCAAAUGAGGAAGUGAGAGCAGAGACGUCGCAGUGCACUCUCCUAAAAUUUCUCUGUAAACUUUGUCCAUUGGGAGCACAAAUUAAAGAUAAGACAUCCAGUUCACUCUCUUGCUGUGUUAUGAAAUAUGCUUAAUAAAUCUAUGCCAGGACUGUGCCAGUAGGGACAGCUAGGGCAGUUGUCCCAUGCUUUAUGGGAGCCCAGGCCUGGGAAUGUCCAGUGACUGAGACUGUCCUAUGCAGCACCAUGUCUGGUCAUGCCUGAUAUAGCUGCUGAGGGAAGUCAGCAGUAGGAAGGUGCUUUGAAAUGAUCAUGGAGACAGUAUAAGGAACUUGGACCUAGUAAAAGUAUGGGGCCAAAAAAGGGAAUGGCAAAAUAAGGAGCAGAUAUAAAGGAAAUUGAAAGAAAAUCAGGUGGACAAGCGGGAAUCAGUUACAAGUAGUGGGGGGUGAAAGAAAAAUAGUGGAGAGGGGAGCAGAGACAAGGGACCUUCUCGCGGGUGCAGCUCAGUGUUCAUGAGGUUGUGCGGGUUGAAACUUUAUUUCUAAAUCUAGUUCUGGGUCCUGUGAAUCUUUGCUGAUCCCAUAUUUUGAGAUCUCGGUGGGACUGCCAUUUUGCAGCCUAAAAGCACUAGCCCAUUUUUGCCAUGUGAAGUAUUGUAUCCUGGUCACACUAGGAAAAGUAAGAAAUGUGAGAGUGGAGACAGAAAACACAAGAGGCUCCUGAAUGAUCCCACCAUGUAUGUUUUUUCAUUGUUGUGGUGACUCCCCAUUUCUUUAUACAGUCUAAAAUGAUGGAGAUUCGUUACUUCUCUGUGUGAAGUAUUCUGUUAUAUUGUCAGAAAUAUUCUAUUGUGCUCAGUUCUUCUACCACCUCUCACACUUGUAUAGCAAGGCCCUUAUUCCAGUCUUUGUCAGUCAUGGCAAAAGGACUUAUUGCAUGUAAUAGAAUAUCAAAUCCUUCAGCAUCCAGAUAUAGCGGAAGUGGCACUACAGAUUCACAGACAGGAUCAACCCCACAGAAAGGGCCUAUAUUGAAUUUAUCAGUAUGCUAUACAUCUGUGAUGUGGGUGAAACUCAUUGUGGCAAAAGAGCUGGAAUGAUUGACGGUGAAACAUCUUACACCUUAUCAGAGGGCCUUCUUCUCCUUAAAGUAUGCUUUGAGUCUUGGAAAGUUAUUCUUCAACAGAUGGAACACAAACAGCUGGGGUUAUUACACGAAAGACAUGGCAAGAAUUAAAGAGUUAUAAAUUGGGAUGGGGAAAGCAGGGAGCUGUUGGACGGGGAGGGAAGACUUAAAUAUUAUUUCUCUAACAAAAGUUUUAUAUUCAGUUCUUAAUAUAUUUAGUUCUUAAUUGCUGUGCAAGCAUAGAAGCUUGUGCUUCCUCCCUGCAAAUCAUAAAAGGCCCUGUGUUUGGAAUAUUGCCAUAAAUCCUUGGAGUUUACAUUUUCUUUGCAGUCCUCUGUUUUCUUUUCUAUUCUGCAGCACAAGAUGUCAAAUGCACUCUUCCCUACAAAUAGCUAUGAUGGAGAGAGAAG